UGAGUUGGCUGGGCGGUCGCGGCGGGGUUAUCCCGGCGAGGAACGUCCGGACUCCAUAGAGCAGGGCGGUGGGUAACGCCCACCCGGGGUGACCCGCGGGAUAGUGCCACAGAGAACAGACCGCCGCCCCGCGAGGGACGGUAAGGGUGAAACGGUGGUGUAAGAGACCACCGGCGCCUCCGGUGACGGGGGCGGCCAGGUAAACCCCGCCCGGUGCAAGGCCAGACAGGAAGCGUCUGAGGGCUGCUCGCCCGAGCUUCCGGGUAGGCCGCUGGAGGCGUACGGCAACGUGCGUCCUAGAUGGAUGGCCGCCGCCGCGCCAGCGCGGGCAACCGCGGCGCGGCACAGAAUCCGGCGUACAGGCCAACUCAUCCG
rnacentral:RNase_P_RNA from 1 species